CCUCGUCGAUCUGCUGCGGGCAGAUGAAAUGAAUGUGGCUGUCGAUGCCGCCAGCGGUGACGAUCAUGCCUUCGCCGGCGAUGACUUCGGUGCCGGGGCCGACGACGAUAUCCACGCCGGGCUGGAUGUCCGGGUUGCCGGCCUUGCCGAUGGCGGCAAUGCGGCCGCCCUUCAAGCCGAUGUCGGCCUUGAUGAUGCCGGUAACGGCAUCGAUGAUCAGGGCGUUGGUGAUCACGGUGUCGACGGUUUCGGCCGAGAUGCGCUGGCCCUGGCCCAUGCCGUCGCGGAUG
rnacentral:sRNA from 1 species